UAAUAUUCAUGGAAGCUCAAUUGGGAAAAUCACCCAAAGGCCCAAGCAAACACACCUUGCCAAGUCCCAAUGGCCAGUGGUACGACCCCUCCCUACAAGCCCUACCGCCACCUGAAAACCCUGACCGCCCACACGCGCGCCGUCUCGUGCGUGAAGUUCUCCAACGACGGCACGCUCCUAGCGUCGGCCUCCCUCGACAAAACCCUAAUCGUGUGGUCCGCCCAGACCCUUUCACUCGUGCACCGCCUCGUGGGGCACUCGGAGGGCGUGUCCGACCUGGCCUGGUCCUCCGACUCCCACUACAUCUGCUCGGCCUCCGACGACCGAACCCUCCGCAUCUGGGACGCGCGCGCCGCCACGAGCGAGUCGGCUCACGUGAAGACCCUGCGGGGGCACUCGGACUUGGUGUUCUGUGUGAACUUCAGUCCGCAGUCGAACCUGAUCGUGUCAGGGUCCUUCGACGAGACGAUUCGGAUAUGGGAGGUGAAGACCGGGAAGUGCCUUCACGCGAUCUGUGCCCACUCCAUGCCCGUCACGUCCGUGAGCUUCAACCGGGACGGCUCGCUCAUCGUGUCCGCCAGCCACGACGGCACGUGCAAGAUCUGGGACUCCUCCACGGCCACCUUGCUCAAGACGCUCAUCGACGACAAGGUCCCUGCCGUCUCCUUCGCUAAGUUCUCACCCAACGGAAAGUUCAUCCUUGUCGCCACGCUCAAUGACACCCUCAAGUUGUGGAACUACUCAGUAGGGAAGUUUUUGAAGAUUUACGCGGGGCAUGUGAAUAGGGUUUACUGCAUAACUUCCACAUUUUCUGUCACAAAUGGGAAAUACAUCGUUAGUGGGUCAGAGGAUCGCUGUAUUUAUUUAUGGGAUCUCCAGCAGAAAACUAUGAUUCAGAAACUUGAAGGCCACACUGAUACUGUCAUUUCUGUUACCUGUCACCCAACUGAGAACAAGAUUGCUUCUGCAGCCCUUGAUGGUGAUAGAAGUGUGAGGAUUUGGGUUCAAGACUCAUGAUUCCUAAACUCUUUUCACCGAUUUUCCACAACACUUGCGUGUGAAUGCGAGGGGCGUCGAUUGGUUGUUGUGUUCUGGGUUUCUCUAUUUUCUCCUUCUAUGGCUGUUUUAACAUUUUUUCCUCCGGGAAAAAAGAGAAAGGUUCAUCAUAACGAUUUGGUGUUGCAAGAUGUAGGGUGUUGCUAUUGUCAUGUUUUUCAGUUUCAUCCUUGGCUCACUACUUUCAACAUAGAGAAAAACAUAAGCGAGGUGCCAGGGCUAGGGCUACUCAGAAAGGGGAUUGCAUCUAAAAAGAAAGUGAUGCUUUUAUAACAAAUACGAAAGCAGGGUCAGAAUGAGAUACAAGCCAAAUAUUCCAUUUAACGUGACAAUCUCUUCCAGGGAAUACGAUGGUUCAUCCAAUAAUAAUAACUGGAAAUGGUCUAUAAUACACAAUGAGUUCUUCAUGGGUAUUGGGUAGCAACAACCAACAAUGGAGCAAGAAAAAUCUGUGGCCUUAACCUCAUGGAGGAGCACAUCACCUGAAAAGAAUAUCAUGAGAAGCCUGCCUGAUUAAUGUGAACCUCAAUUGUCUCGAAAGAAAUCUCCAACAAUAACAAUAUCCUGUAAACGCUUCAUUGCCUCUCUCCUAAAACCUCUAUGCAAAAAACUUCACUCCUCUCACAUGUCAACUCUUUCUUCCUCUUCCCACCACAAUCCUCAUGUUUUUCUCUUCGCCACCACUUCUUUGUUACUUCCUUUUUAUUCUUUUCAUUUAGUUUUUCUUGUAUUUUGUUUUGGUUAUUAGAGGUUCCCAGUCUCUACCACCCAUGCACGCCUUCUCAAUCGCUAGUCGCCGCUCAACCAUUCACUGGUCCCCCUCCCUCGCACAUAUAUCUCUUGCGACGCUGCUUAUUUUGAUUUUCCUGCAACAGAUUUCAUCAAUCACAGCACCUUUGAGUCUCCUUUUGUAGAGCCCUUUUGGUCUACCAUAAAUUUCAUAUCUAGAUUUGGACCUAAAAAAUAUCUAAUCUUGGUGGUUCUCUGUCCCACCGUCCUAGAUGGUGUCUCUUCCGCUAUUGUACAACUACCUCUUAGUCUCCUCAAUUCCCUCAUAAGUUGGUCAAAAGCAAAGUUAAAAAGAGUUUUAUUUGUUGAUACCCACAACAUUCACCAUGGGUUGUUAUAACCAGUUUCGCUGGCAGCAUUCUCAAUUACCUUCUCCACCUUAAAUUUUCUUAUU